rnacentral:tRNA from 1 species
GGAAGCAGAUGGGGUCUGGUGGCUCCCGCGGUCUUCAAAACCGCUGGCCGCGCGCCGCGCGGUGGCAGGUUCGAUUCCUGCCUCUUCCG